GCACCCGUAGCUCAGCUGGAUAGAGCGUCUGUUUGCGGUACAGGAGGUCGUGCGUUCGAAUCGCGCCGGGUGUACCA
rnacentral:tRNA from 2 species